GCCAGGUGCAGUGGGGCACACCUGUAAUCCCAGCUACUCAGGAGGCUGAGGCAGGAGGAUCGCGAGUUCAAAGCCAGCUUCAGCAAAAGCGAUGUGCUAAGCAACUCAGUGAGACCUGUCUCUA
rnacentral:sRNA from 1 species